GGUCUCCCGGGCUUUAAAAGCCCCUAAAGGUCCGUUAUAGACUAUGACGUUGAUAGGCUGGGUGUGGAAGCGCGGUAACGUGUGAAGCUAACCAGUACUAAUUGACCGUGUGGCUUGACCAU
rfam:Achromatium sp. WMS2 contig-183_324, whole genome shotgun sequence.